GGAGUAAAGCUUGCUGUGAGAAGUCAGCAGAAGCCAUAGUACCGGAAGUUUCUUUCGGGAAGGGC
rfam:Paenibacillus sp. DMB20 mira_22, whole genome shotgun sequence.